AUCGCUUCUCGGCCUUUUGGCUAAGAUCAAGUGUAGUAUCUGUUCUUAUCAGUAGAAAGCAAUAAUAUAGAAGAUGGGCAUGUUGCUUGAUGCCAAGGAGAGAAGCCAUGGUAGAGGCGGAGCUCUU
rfam:Myotis lucifugus cont2.1773, whole genome shotgun sequence.